rnacentral:lncRNA from 1 species
UUUCUGCUGUACAGCAAAGUGACCCAGUUCUACCUAUACAUUCUUUUUCUCAUAUUAUCUUCUAUCGUGUUCCAUCCCAUGAGAUUGGCUAGAGUUCGCUGUGCUGUGCAGCAGGAUCUCAUUGCUUAUCCAUUCUAUUUUUUUUUUUUUUUUUUUUGUCUUUAUGUCUUUUCUAGGGCUGCACCCUUGGCAUACGGAAGUUCCCACGCUACGGGUGAAUGAGAGCUACAGCUGCACGCCUACACCACAGCCACGGCAACAUGGGAUCCGAGCCACAUCUGCGACCUACACCACAGCUCACGGCAACGCCGGAUCCUUAACCCACUGAACAAGGCCAGGGAUCAAACCCACAUCUUCAUGGAUGCUAGUCAGGUUCAUUACCACUGAGCCACGAUGGGCACUCCUUCUUCUUCUAUUUUUUUUUUAAGCCUCUUAACCUGAUACCUCUCAUAAACAUCCAGGCAAUUCUACCCCCAAAGUUGAAAAACACCCAAGGGCUGGGUGUUAUUUUAGGUGUGGGAGGGAACCAUGAAAUCAAAACACAGUGCAGAUCAAAGUUUGGCCCAGGGUUAGAAGAGGACGGAGGCAGGUGCCUCUUCCCGGGCAGAGUCUUGGGGAGUCCCCACCAGGUGUGGGGACAGGCCCGCCGGCCACUGCAGAUGGAGGCUGGGCAAAGACAGGGCCCCCUUCUCACCACUGGCUGGGCUCUGACCAGUCCAGCCUGGGUCCCGCUCGUUCCUGGAAGGAAUGGAACGGGUCUUCCCACUGCCGCCGUGGGCUCACACGGACUGAAUGCCCAGUCCAGCUCCUUCUUCACCUGAACUGAGGACUCUGAACUGAGAAAAGUACAACAAAGGAGCCAUCGAGAAAGGAAGUUAGAUACCGAGUGUCACGCACCCGGCCCUGGAGGGGCUGGCGGGCAUCUGCAUGAGGAGUGCCAGGGCAACAGGGGGCCAGACCCCACCUCAGCGGGGUUCAGCUCUUCAACACUUGCCUUCCCCCAGCUCUAAGUCUGUCCACACUUGCUGAGAACACAGCAGGGGGGCCAGCCACUCAGGCGCAGCGGCUGGGAAAUGGGGCCUGAGGGUCUCCGCCAGCAGCGCCGCAGGGCUAGAACACCCCGCUUCCCCAGUGGAGAUGGUGCCACACCUGCCCUCCUUUCUGGUCGCGUGACCUUGGGCCCAUCCCAGCCCCUCAAGGCCAGGUGCGCUUGCCACGCUUCUCCCAUGCUAACCAAGCCUUUGGGUCUCCUCCCAGGGGCUCCUGGGGUGACCCGUCCCUGUGCAGACAGGCUACGUGGAGCGCAGUUAUUAGAGGACUUAGUUUCGAGGUCACACUCUGGGAAUGUAGCAUCGUGUAUGUUUUCAUUUCUGGGUCUCGCCCGGCUUUAACCAAAACCAUGGACGUCAGGUUUGGUUCUCUUGACCAAGGGCAAGACUUGGACUUGGAUCCAACAGGAUUCCUGAGACUUUUCUCUAUUUCCUGACGAUCCGAGCGAUUAAAGAGCAAUGAAAUGUGCAAGUCUCUGUUGGCCUGAAACCACUUAACCUCUGGUUCUUCUGGUCCAAUAUGUUUGUAUGAGAUACACAGGCUCUGACAGGCCAACUGUGGCUCCCGACAGUGUGCUGCACACACACGUGGACAGGUGUUUGUGACUUUUAGAAAACGACGUGUCCAGCUCAGCCACAACCCUGCUGUGCGAGGCAGACCCCCGUCUGUGCCUCUCAAGUUCACGACAGUGGUGGCAACAACCUGCAAGCAAGGAAUAACCCGGAGCCGACUGAAUACCGACACUUACUGACGAGGACAAGCCAGGUAUACAGACAGCCUGCUGUGGACGGGAGCCGGCGGGAGAGAACCCCUGUUCCACAGGCUCUAGUCACACUUCUUUACAGAUCAGCAUCCAUCUGACAGAUGGAAACGUGUCGCUGCUACCUAAUUGUGCCAUAAAAUAAAGGAAGUAUCACCCAAGUAGCUUCCUUUUCAUCAUCUCACACUUCCAGUCAUCCAGUUUGGUGGGCCUUCUUUCUGAAAUAAAUCACAACUUUUUCCUAUCGUUUUCUCUUCCGGUUUCAUUGAGCCGUAAUUGACCCACAGCGCCGUGUACGUCAAGGGGGACCACGUAGUGAUCUGACUUACACAUGUUGGGUACGGAUGACCACGGUAAGUUUAGUGAACAUUCAUCAUCUCACAUAGGUACAAAAUUAAAGAGAUGGGAAAAAAAAUGUUUUCCUUGUGAUGAGAACUUUUAGGAUUUACUCUCUUAACUAUUUUUUCCUUCUUAGGGCUACACCUGUCACAUAUGGAAGUUUCCAGGGUAGGGGCCAGUUGGGGCUGCAGUGGCAGGCCUACACCACAGCCACAGCCAUGAAGGAUCUGCACUGCAUCUGCAUCCCAAGUUGCAGCUUGCGGCAAAACCAAAUCCUUACCACACUGAACCAGAUCUUAACACACUGAGCGAGGCCAGGGAUCGAACCCCCACCCUCACGGACACUGUGCUGGGUUCUUAACCUGCUGAGCCACAACGGGAACUCCACUCUGUUAACUUUCACAUCUUUUAACUGCCUUCCUCCUACCCCCACUUCUGGUAACCACAAAUUUAGUAUCAUGUGUUUGCCUAUGUUUUUAUUUUUUUAUGAACUUCUUAAAAAAACUGCAGUUGAUUUACAAUGUUGUGCUAAUUUCUGCUGUACAUGACACACACACACACACACACAUAUAUAUAUAUAUAUAUACAUGUAUCUCCUUUUUAUAUGAUCUUCCAUCAUGGUCUAUUCCAAGAGAAUGGACGUAGUUCCCUGUGCUGUGCACUAGAACCUCAUUGCUGAAAAAAGUCAAAACUUCUGAGAGAACCCAUCAUGGGCCACUGGUGGGAAAUGUGACCGUGACAGCACUGGCUCAUGAACACGUAGCAGUCACGCUGGCCUCCUGUGACCCUCAUGGCUUCUGAUCACUUCCUCUGACUUUAUGAAUUUAAGCGAACAACACACGCACACACACACACACAAAUACAAAGGUGUAGCUGUCAGAUCCCAGGGUGGAAACCAGCCUCCACCUGUGUAAUCUGACUCCUAAUGUCACCUGCGACAGAAACCACCCAUUGUCUUCCCUGUCAUUAAACAAAGAGAAAUAAAGCCAGCUAAGUUCAGUAAACAGCCGACUCAAAUUUCAGAAGCUAUUCUUAUUCAACCUCUCCUCCAGUAGAAAAACCACAAUGGUCGGGCAAAAACAAUGGGCGAGUGGUGCCAGCCGCCAGGUGAGGGCCUGCACCUGCGUCCCGAGUCAGGCACUGCCUGGACUGCCCCCCACACGUGGCCCCCGGAAGGUGGCAGCUGGGGCCCCUUUCAAGGACGGCGGUGGCUCUGAAGUGGAGGAACUUCUCAAACGCAAAUCGGCCUCUCCCGACCGAGGGUGCGGCCGUGGGGGCGGUUCUUGCACGUGGACACGCCGUGUCCCCACAAACCCUCCACCAGCCCCGGGAAAGCAUUUCCGCUGGGGCACGGCUACGAAUUGUCUCCUGCGGCCGACGGCAUUGGAAAGGCAAAGAUAAGAUGGAAAAACAAACAACACUGGCUGCCUUGGACGUCAAUAAAAAGUUGUCAGGCCACGUUCAGAGCCCCGAGUCGUGAAGAGAUCCUGCAAUCAAGCCACCAGCCACCAGCUGGAGGAAAUCUCACACACACACACACACACACACACACACACACACACACACACACACCCCCGCAUCCCGACCACAGGCUCUUUGCCAUCGGCUCUCCACCGCCUCUAUGUCGACAAACGAGGGGCUGCCAGAUUCAAGGUCCCAGACGUGGCGGUCAAGGUCCCUGCACCCCACCCCACCCCCACCACAGCAGAGAGCACGCUGCAGAACCCAUCAAAUUGGUUCUCUCCCCACCAGAUGGCAAGAGGAGGGGCAAACCCAAAAUGCAAACAGCAAAGGCUGCGCUGCCCCCUUGAACUCACCCAACAACACAUGAGGCUUUUUCCCACUCGCUGUGUACUUUCCAUGCGCCAGAGCCAAGGCUCAGAAUCUCCCUAUGUUAUUUCAUCCCAACCUGAGCACCCCUCGAGGACGUGGGGGGCGUCCCCACUUUACAGAAGACGGCCGUGGACCCCAGAAGUGGGAGGUCUCAGUUCACGGUUACAGCCUGGGUGGGACCCCGAGCUGACUCAAGCCCCACUCACUGUUCUAGUCUUAGUCUGUGCCACAUGCACAUGAGCAAGCAGGUCCACCUAUAGAAAGAACUAGAGGAUGCGCGUGACCCAGUCCCAAAGAGCCUGACCCCUCUCCCACCACUAAAGAUUACCGUAGUUAUCUCAACAACCAGCGAGUCAUCCACUCCGCAAACCAGGAGAUGACAUGCCAUGGACGUCUCGCAGGUGUAACCCAGAGCGACAACAAGGCAUCUAUUUCUAAAUGCCGUGCCAACAGCCGCAGCCACAUAAUGCCAAGGGUUCUGAGAAGGCUGCACUUCAAAGCUUGUGUCCGACGUCCCUCUAAAAGAAGAAUUCAUCUGGACCUGGCCAUGGGCGGGAGCAUGUCCGUGCAGCUGUCGUGCAGGACCUGUCCCCGGCCACAGUCAACACCUGGCAUAGCUUCCCACGUGGCACUUUCUCCACUGAUUUGCUUUUUCCCUCCUUGCUGAUAAGGCACAGGCCAAUACUGCGGUUUCCCUCUCACGCCGGCUUCCAGGAAACUGGGAGCCUUGUUUGCAGGUUUCAUCAGCUCAGUUGACAUUUACAGAGGGAGGUCUGCCUCCCAGAUCUUUCUCUCAGCCCCACCGCCUGUCAUUUCUAGUCAGUGUAUCACUCAAACCUGGUGCCCACCUUUUUUUUUUUUUUUUUUUUCAGGGCUGUACCUGCAGCAUAUGAAGGUUCCCAGGCUCGGGGUAGAAUGGGAGCUGCAGCUGCCAGCCUACAUCACAGCCACAGCAACACCAGAUCCGAGCUGCAUCUGUGACCUAUGCUGCAGUCUGUGGCAACACCAGACCCUUAACCCACUGAUUGAGACCAGGGGUCAAACCCAAAUCCUCAGAGACUGCAUCGGAUUCUUAACCCACUGAGCCACGAUGGGAACUUCCAUGGCCACAUUCUAAGCCACGGCAAUAAACAGGAAGAGAAUGUGCUACCAGAAAAGGCCCAGAAAAAUGAGCAGCAAGGCCAACAGCCAAGGGGUCAGGGCAGGAGGGCCACGUGAAGUUUCCUGGCUGCUGGGUCCCAAACACUUCAGGUGGUCACAAGGGAACCUCCGCCUGGCAGAGCAUGACGUCAUGAGGUGCAGGGGUCACGGGAGGUCACCAGGUCCUGUGGGCACAGCCUGGCACCAACCUCUCCUCUCCAACCAGGGCAGUGAAGGACGCUUCC